GACGUAGGGUGCAAGCGUUUGUCCGGAUUUAUUGGGCGUAAAGAGCUCGUAGGCGGCUUGUUGCGUCGACUGUGAAAACCCGCGGCUUAACCGCGGGCUUGCAGUUGAUACGGGCAGGCUAGAGUUCGGUAGGGGAGACUGGAAUUCCUGGUGUAGCGGUGAAAUGCGCAGAUAUCAGGAGGAACACCGAUUGCGAAGGCAGCUCGCUGGAACGUUACUGACGCUGAGACGCGAAAGCGUGGGGAGCAAACAGG
rnacentral:rRNA from 1 species